rnacentral:rRNA from 1 species
GCUGCUUUGCUGACGAGUGGCGGACGGGUGAGUAAUGUCUGGGAAACUGCCUGAUGGAGGGGGAUAACUACUGGAAACGGUGGCUAAUACCGCAUAACGUCGCAAGACCAAAGAGGGGGACCUUCGGGCCUCUUGCCAUCAGAUGUGCCCAGAUGGGAUUAGCUUGUUGGUGAGGUAACGGCUCACCAAGGCGACGAUCCCUAGCUGGUCUGAGAGGAUGACCAGCCACACUGGAACUGAGACACGGUCCAGACUCCUACGGGAGGCAGCAGUGGGGAAUAUUGCACAAUGGGCGCAAGCCUGAUGCAGCCAUGCCGCGUGUAUGAAGAAGGCCUUCGGGUUGUAAAGUACUUUCAGCGGGGAGGAAGGUGUUGUGGUUAAUAACCGCAGCAAUUGACGUUACCCGCAGAAGAAGCACCGGCUAACUCCGUGCCAGCAGCCGCGGUAAUACGGAGGGUGCAAGCGUUAAUCGGAAUUACUGGGCGUAAAGCGCACGCAGGCGGUCUG